CAAACUCUCAGGUUCUGGCUUUGGCCCUCGGUAUGCCAGAACUUUUGCGGUGUCACGGGGCUUUCCCCGUGGCGCCUUUUUUU
rnacentral:ncRNA from 1 species